GGAUAAAAAAGGAAAAGGAUUUAGGAUUAGUUCACUUUUCCCCCUUCCUCCUAACUUGAAUUAAUUUUGCCACUUAGCAUAGGUUAUUUCUCCCUCUACCUGAGCUAAUUGAGAACAUAGGUCAUGUUCCAGGCUUAUACAAACAAAAAAGAACAAAGAAAAAUUCCUCAUAUAUAUCUCAAUUGUGGUAUUAAAUCUGGUAUAAACCAUUUGUUAGCGUGUGUUUAAAGCAGCAGCAAUACAACUGACACAUAGCAAUUAUUCCAUGAAUGGCUUUCACAUUCAAACUCCACCUAUAAAAACUGAAACUUAAGUUCUUGUAGGGCGCCAGCCACUGUAUAAAAACUCUAUCUAUAAAUAUUUAACUACAUAAAAUGUUUUGAUGCUGACAGAACUCUGGUAAAGACAAAAUACAGCAAAUAAAUAUUACAUUAUGAAUGCCUCAACUUAAUCACUAUUUUUUGCCCUUUUCUCCUUGGAUAAUGCAGACUUCCAAAUUCUUGGAAACAAUAGUUCAGAGCAACUUAUCCAAACAAAUACCCAUCAAAAUGAAUUCCUAAUAAACAUGACUAAAAAUCGUGAAAUCAUUUUUUUUUGGAAGUUCCUCAUCAACCAAAUAUGGGUUAAUUUUCGAUGGUCAAGAAACAGAAAAAAAAAAAAAUGAAAAAGAAAGUUAUGCCUUGGGGGGAACUUGAAUUAUUCAAUUUACAUUCUUUUUUAAGAUAUUAACCAGGGGUCAUAAUGGCUGAUUUGAUUGCAGAUGGGCUCCACGUGGGAUUCUGG
rnacentral:misc_RNA from 1 species